AUCACCUAGGGAUCUUGUUAAAAUGCAGAUUCUGUUUCAGAAGGUCCUGGGGUGGGGCGUGGGCUGAGAGUCUGCCUUCCUAACAAGCUCCCAGGCGAUGCUGC
rnacentral:pre_miRNA from 1 species